rnacentral:rRNA from 1 species
GACCGCGGUUAGACGAGCGACUCAAGCUGAUUGCCCUCGGCGUAAAGCGUGGUUAAGAAGUUAAAUUAGACUAAAGCCAAAGGCCCUCAAGGCUGUUAUACGCACCCGAGCAUACGAAGCCCCAUCACGAAAGUAGCUUUAACCCCUCCUGACCCCACGUAAGCUAGGGAA